rnacentral:rRNA from 1 species
GCAUAACGCGAAGAACCUUACCUACUCUUGACAUCCACGGAACUUUUCAGAGAUGAAUUGGUGCCUUCGGGAACCGUGAGACAGGUGCUGCAUGGCUGUCGUCAGCUCGUGUUGUGAAAUGUUGGGUUAAGUCCCGCAACGAGCGCAACCCUUAUCCUUGUUGCCAGCGGUUAGGCCGGGAACUCAAAGGAGACUGCCAGUGAUAAACUGGAGGAAGGUGGGGAUGACGUCAAGUCAUCAUGGCCCUUACGAGUAGGGCUACACACGUGCUACAAUGGCGCAUACAAAGAGAAGCGACCUCGCGAGAGCAAGCGGACCUCAUAAAGUGCGUCGUAGUCCGGAUUGGAGUCUGCAACUCGACUCCAUGAAGUCGGAAUCGCUAGUAAUCGUAGAUCAGAAUGCUACGGUGAAUACGUUCCCGGGUCUUGUACACACCG